rnacentral:rRNA from 1 species
AACGAACGCUGGCGGCAUGCCUAACACAUGCAAGUCGAACGAGACCUUCGGGUCUAGUGGCGCACGGGUGCGUAACGCGUGGGAAUCUGCCCUUGGGUUCGGAAUAACAGUUAGAAAUGACUGCUAAUACCGGAUGAUGUCUUCGGACCAAAGAUUUAUCGCCCAGGGAUGAGCCCGCGUAGGAUUAGCUAGUUGGUGGGUAAAGGCCUACCAAGGCGACGAUCCUUAGCUGGUCUGAGAGGAUGAUCAGCCACACUGGGACUGAGACACGGCCAAGACUCCUACGGGAGGCAGCAGUGGGGAAUAUUGGACAAUGGGCGAAAGCCUGAUCCAGCAAUGCCGCGUGAGUGAUGAAGGCCUUAGGGUUGUAAAGCUCUUUUACCCGGGAUGAUAAUGACAGUACCGGGAGAAUAAGCCCCGGCUAACUCCGUGCCAGCAGCCGCGGU